GGGCCCGAGCCGAGUGGCCCCGCGGAGCCGGCGCGCUCCCGCCUGCAGGGGGAGGGCGGACGGGGCGCUGGGACCGGCCAGGCCGCGGCGGGCGCUGUUUCUCUUUCACUUUCCUUCGUUCAGAGGCCGUCGCGCUGUCGGGCGAGGAGCUGCGGUGGUGGCGGCUGGUUAUGGGAAAGCAGAGCUCCCGAAAGGAGUGAUGAUCAUCGAUCUCAUGAUAAAUCUGGAUAUUAGUUCUCAUGCAUCAGGACAUCCUAUUGGGAACACCACGCCAGCUCCUGGGAUCAGACUUUCAUCCACUUAGUACCCUUGUUUGUCUGAGCUACUAAAGCCAGCUAACUACGAAUGGCUACCCAAAGGAAACAUUUGGUGAAAGAUUUCAAUCCUUACAUUACCUGCUAUAUCUGUAAAGGGUAUCUGAUCAAGCCAACUACAGUAACAGAAUGUCUCCAUACCUUCUGUAAGACUUGCAUUGUCCAGCACUUUGAAGAUAGCAAUGAUUGUCCAAGGUGUGGCAACCAAGUUCAUGAGACAAAUCCAUUAGAAAUGUUGAGGUUGGAUAAUACAUUGGAGGAAAUUAUAUUUAAGCUGGUACCUGGACUACGAGAACAAGAACUUGAGCGUGAAUCAGAAUUUUGGAAGAAAAAUAAGCCUCAAGAAAAUGGGCAAGAUGAUACUUCAAAAGUUGAUAAACCUAAAGAAGAAGAAGAAGGUGAUGAAAAUCAAGAUGAUAAAGACUAUCAUAGAAGUGACCCACAAAUUGCUAUAUGUCUAGAUUGUUUACGAAAUAAUGGACAAUCAGGGGACAAUGUAGUAAAGGGUCUAAUGAAGAAAUUCAUUCGAUGUUCUACACGUGUAACUGUGGGAACUAUUAAAAAAUUUCUAAGUUUAAAACUAAAGCUUCCAAGUUCUUAUGAGUUGGAUGUGCUGUGCAAUGGUGAAAUUAUGGGGAAGGAUCAUACUAUGGAAUUCAUCUAUAUGACAAGAUGGCGACUAAGAGGAGAAAACGUUGAGUGAAGUUCCGUGCCCUACACAGAGCUCUGAUCUCACUGAACAGUGCUGCUUUCAGGGGUAGUUGAAGAGGAGACCUAGGAGAGACUGAUCGCAGGAAGGGAUGGAAGAAAGAGGGUGCCCUCAUGUACCAAGAGUUUCGGUGUCUGAACUGCUCAGCUACGCAAGUCUGCUCUCAGGAUGGCCCUUUGUAUCAGUCAUACCCUAUGGUAUUGCAGUAUCGACCAAGAAUUGAUUUCGGUUAGACCAAGGGGCCUAGAUUUCACUGAAAUGAAUCCUGCACUAUUUGUUUACUCGUCGACAGAUUGCACAGUGAACGGUGUGUGGACUAGAGGGACACAAUCAGAUUCUCAGCAUGCAAAUAAGGCCAUUGUCUGUCUCUAAAAUUGUCAGUUACAUUCAUGUUGUUUCUCUUAAGAGCAAACCAAGUGCCAUUCUGCUACUGAACCAUCUGCAUAAGGUAUUUGUGCUGUCUCACAGUGUGCACGUCAUGGCUGGAAUCAGUUAGGUGUGCAGCCAUGAUUCAUUCUUCUGAAUAUUUUGCUUGCCUGUUCCAAGAUUGUUCAAAUGUUUAAUUACACUAGUAAAAUGGCUCAAUCUUUGUGGUGUUGCAGUUUUCACAUACUUAACUAUUUUAUUAAUUCUCGUUUAAAUAGGGUACUAUACAAGAACCUAAUAAUUAUAUCUUGAAAUUAUUUUGUAUGGAACUGUAUUUAGAAAAGUGGUUUCUGAACCACUGUCCUAUUCUUGGUAAGCUUUUUGUGUAAGAAAUAGUUCAUUCUUGAGUGUGCAAGUCCUUUUGUGAAGAAUUCCAGUUAUUCUUUAACAUUGGAGCACAUCAUAAUUGUAGGCAUUCUAAGCAUCUCUCUGUGUAGUCUACCAAUUUGCACAAGGAAGGCACAUUAGCCCUCCAGAUCAGAAAUGUAGGUGACUUCUUGGACAACCUAAGUUAGAUUCAAAACCAUUCACAAUGUUGGCAGCUGAUCACAUUUACUUCUAAUAAAAUUAAUGUGUAAGUAAGGUUAAUCGUUCAUAAUGCCUUAUGACAAGCGGGUGCUGCUUCAUGAAACUUCAUUGUAUAGCCCAUUUUAUGUAUGUAUCAUUACUUUGUUGCUGUCGUUUAACGAAUGCUUUGUUUUUCUUUUUAAGUUGGCCUUAGGUGUGUGGCAUUGUGGCAUGCAGAGGGUUAUGUAUGAUGAUUUUAAACGUUAGGAUUUUUAGAGCAGAUAACAUUUUAUGGCUUCAAAAUUCUCAAAAACAGUUAUAGGUUCAAACUGUUAGUUACCUAUCACAUUUCCAAACCAUAUGCAUCAAAUAGAUUAAAUACAGUGUAGUGGAUAAACAUGCUAACCAAAAUUAAUGGUUUAAGGAUAUUUUCUUUUAGAUACUAUAGCAAUGGGUGGGGGUGGGAUUAUUGUUUUAUACAUGAAUUCAUUAAAGGUCAGAACUAUGAUGAUGUCAUUGAUUUUGCAGUUUUGUUAUAAGUCUUCCAUUCAUUACAGUUUAGUCUGCAAGUCAAAGUCUUUUUACCUUAAAUUAGAUGAAAAACUUCAUUUUAAAGCUUUUAAAAUCCCCAGUUGUUUUCACAAAACCUCCUUGGAAAUUGUUUUAUCAGUAGCUUUGAAACAACCUUGCAAUUUAGGACAAAAUCUUGGAGAUUAGGAGAAAUUACUUGUGUAAUCUAACAUGAGCACAAUCUAUGUGUUACAUACAUAGUUUUUAUAUUGUAUACAUGGUAGUUGUGCUACAUUUUCCAGUAAAAUGUAUCACAGUUAACACCUUCUGAAUAGAAAUAAAACAUUGUACAACUCUAAGAAAUAUACAAAAUACAUCUCAACAUUGAUGCAUUUCACAAAGUAAAAGCUUAAAGUUAAUGAUACCCUUUACGUAUAUGUUUUAUCAAGUCCAAAAGUCUGUAUUAAAGUUUUCUGUUUUUGUUCUGACUUUGGUGAAGAAGUUUACAGCAGUACUAUCUUAGCUUCAUUUUGUUGGAUUAUGUGUGUUCUUGGAAAGGGUUUAUAAGCAGAAUUUAUAAGGCAGUUUUUAUUAACUAUCAAUGCUUGGAAAAGACCAUUACACUCCACCAAAAACUGAAUUUUGUUAUCCAGUUACAGAAAUUAUUUUGCUGUACUGUGAAACCUAGUUCCUAAAUAUCCUUGAGAAUUUUUUUAAAUUAUUAUAAAAGUGUCACAUCUAGAUUAAUGAUUUAAAACAAGUGUCUUACAUAUGGAAGUUAAUUAACUUAAAUGAAUUAAGAGUACAUUUUGAAAACCACAAAUGAGACUUGGAUGUUUUGGCUCCACAACCAAAACUUACGGCCAUAAACUAGUUUUAUAUACAAGAUCUCUUUAAAUUUGACCCUUGCCUGAUCAUAUGUAAUUUCACUAUAUUCCAAGGAAAUAUAUAGGAAACAAUUAUGGAAUUGAGAAUAGGUGUAUAUAAAAUUGUUUAAUGUUAAAGCACUGACAUUUUUAUUGAAAUGCAAUAGAAUUUGUGCCAAAACAUGUUAAAAAAAACUUACAUAAAGAAGGACAUCAAUUGUUAAUUGGACAAAGGUUCACAUUUGUUGGUGGUCCUGAGUAAUGUGGUAUUGCCACUAGAGCCUAGACUUCUUCAGCUGACCUCUUGGUGUGUCAUCUAUAAGUUUCUAAGAAUGGGACUGCUCUCAUGUCCAGUAAUACACUAAAUUCCCAGUUAAUUAUCACUUACAUCAGGUCACAGAAUUUGCAGGCAGGCAGGUAUGGAAAAAAUGUACAGGCACCUUUUAUGGUUAGCUUUAUAAAAUAAGGUGCUAAUAAAACAAAUGCUUCAUAUUAAUAACCUAUAGGAAUAAUAUUCUGAAUCUGUAAAAUCAGAGAAUAACCCUAGAUUUACACUUUAAUCUGUUGUUUCUUAAGCAAUAAACUGAAAAAAAAAACCUUUAUUUCCAUAAAAGAUUUUGUUAUCUGUUUAAUCUGCCUUAAAUAUCAGAUAUAAAAGGGUCAAGGAAUCUUGGAUAUAAAGAAUGUCCGUGGUUUAUAAGUGACAUGUUAAUUGAAGUAAUCACAUCAGUUAAUAGAGAAAUCAAAAUAUGACCUUCUUUCUAGAUUAACAAAACUCCUAAGAUGCAUGAAAAAAUAAACUAAAACGCUCACUGAUGAGGUAAUAUUCAGUCUUGGAUUUGGGUUACAUCCUUUAACUACUUUUAGAAAAGCGUAUUAUUUCUUGUUGAACAUCUAUCCCAAACUAAUAUGCCACAUUUUAUAAAUGUAAUGGGUUUGCUAAACUAUAUUAUAUACUCAAAUGUUACCUAAAUUUGAAGUGAUUCUUUAAGGAAAAAAAUAUGCUAUGUAAUAUUGUUUAGCUUUAUCGAAUAUUUAAGAGAAAGUGCCUCAUUGCUGAAGUGCAUUUCUGUUUUAGAUUUAUUGCAUCAAUUUUGAGUUAUCUGUAUGUCUCUCAUGAAUUGUUUCAUAUCUAAAUAGGCACUUGUAAGUUAAUCUCUUUUUAAAGAUUUUCAUAAGAAUAUAGAUAUCACCAAAGACAUUUUACUGUUAAUUAAUAAUUGUGUUGGAGAAACCAUUUUAACAGCUUAGAGGUUGGAAGUUUUUAGGUAGCAACUUAAUUUUGUAUAGUUAGGCAAUAACCUUGAUUAAUUGUUAAAACAUCACCAAAGAAAGGCUUUAAACUGAAUUUUCUUGGUGAGAAGGGUCAAAUGCAGGUUUUUCUUGCAAUAAUCAGAGCACACUUCCUUUCAAGUGUUUUCACUGUUUUUAAGCACCAUCUGAACAGAUUUUAGGUAUCCUCAAACAUGAGAAAGAGAUAAACAUGUUUUUCUAAAUGAAAUAUGGGAGAAAUACUUUUAAAAGAACAUUGAAAUUAUGAUUUUAAAUUUUAUUUAAAAGUCUUUCAUUCCAUGGAGGCAGUAUAAAAUAAAUUAUACUUAUUUAGUUCCCAGAAUCUUAAUAAUAUGAGAAAUUUUAUUCGAGAGACUUUGGUAAAAAUAUUGACAUCCUUACUUAUGAAGAAGAUAGUACAUUUUUCUAGAUUUACAUAAGUGCUUUUUGUAUAUUCAGAAGCAAAAUUUUCAUAAGGGCCUGUUUUGUUUUCUUAAAAAGUAGCUCUUUUUGUCUUAUUUCUCAGCAGUAACUUUAUUAAAACUUAGCCAUACAAGAGCAUCUGCAUACAUCAAGAGAGAUGUACUGUUAUGCCAUUUCUCCUCCAGAGUCAUUCUGUGUUGCACCUUUAAGGUAAAAUUCAUUUUAUGAAGUCUGUCUGAUGGGUCACUAGGUAAACCUCCUCAAAUAGGUUAAAUGUGAACGCACACUCUAUUAUGUACUCUGGUCUAUCAUACAGAAUCUUCCAGCAGCUAAGCUUUAUACCAGAUGUUGAUUGGUUGUAGGAAUUUUUAAAAUGACUGCAUUUGCCAUAACUUUUCUUUUCUGGAUUUGAAACACAAAAACUUGAAAUACUGUUAUCAUUAUUUUAAGAUAUACAACCCUAUAAUUUGGAGAGCAAUAAAGAAUGUAACACAUCUGCUAGAUCUGGUUUUGAAAAACAUUAAAUACACUAAAGACUCUGAAGCCCUUUCAAAGCACAAGAUAACCAACUGUGUCUGGAUUUACUUGAUAUACGUAGUUCAGUAAUAUUUUGGUGGAAAACAUAAGAUAAAGUUUAUUAAAAUGUACUUAAAUAUACAGUACAGGGUUUUCCUAGUGUUGGGUUUUUAAAAAGCAGUGGUGGUUUUCCAGUAAUUUAAAAGUGAUUCUUUUCUUAUGACACAGUUUUCACAGAUAGUGUUAAUUUGCUGUCCUUAUCAUAUUUUCAAAUAGAAUUCAAAUGCUUGAGCACUUCCUCUUCAGAAAGUUAUAAAAUUAAACUUAAAAAUAAUUUAAUUACUUCAAAUGCUUAUGCAAAUAUGUCUGUAUAGUUGUUAUGUCCCUUUUUCGAUGAUUCAGAACUGAGACUUUCAGAAAUGCUUAGUUUUGAAAUCUAGAAUCAAGUGAAACAUACAUGUUUAAUAUACUAGAUCUAGUUUUCUUCCAUCUUACAGAACUUCGUGGAAUAAGCAACUAAUCUAGUACAAAUGAAGAUUAACUAUUUCUGGGUUUUGUAGAGAUAGUAAACAGUUUAAUUUAUUUAUCCAUACACUUCACAUCAAUCCACUGGAGCAGGAGUUCUACACAUUAAAAUGUAAUGGGAUCAGCCUAACAUUGUUUGAGAUCAGUUUUCUUUUGCUGUAUUUUUUAGAAUGGGGUUGGGGGCCUAAGUGUCCUUAUGAAGCUGUGGUCCAGGACAAGAGCUUGUGGGGGGAGUAUCAAUGUUCCGCUGCUUUCCUGCAUCUGGCAACACAACAGCGAUCAUCCGUUUAUAUUAGGGUAGCCCUCACAAUAAAUAAAGCUAUCAUAGAAUAUAUUGUAAAGUUAUGUUGCUAAUUUUACUUUGAAAUAUGAAAUAUUUUAAGCUUUUUGUCAAAAGUGGUAACAUCUUAAUACAAAUAAAAACCUUUUUGUGGUUGUAAGAUUUAGCUUAUAAAUCAUUCAAAUUGAAGUGAAAGAAUUACCAGGUCAUUGUUAAUGACUUAGUCUAUUAAGAAUAUAUGUAUUUUUGUAAAGGAAAAGCACUUGUAGAUAUUUAAUCAGUACAAGAUAUAUGUCUGUUUUGCAGAAAUAAAAUGCUGCUUAGAGAUUCUCUUUAAAUAUUUUUUAUUUUUGUGCUCAAAUGUAUUUUCUGUUGAUCUAUGGAAUGUUCUGUACAAAGCUGUAUGAUUGUACUGUUGGGCUAGAUACAUUUUUUUUUUAAUCUGAACUUAGCCAAGUAUAUUUGACCAUGUUAAAAAUAGUAUCUUUGUUAUUAAAAUUUUGAUUGCAUAA